CAGUAUAUUCAUCUUGACCAAAAAAAGGUACUUUUAAAGUACUGCCCCAUCCUUACAUAAUCUGGGUUUGAAACUCCAGAUAAACUGAAAGUUUUAGAUUAGGAAUGAUUAUCCUUCUUUCCUCAUAGGACUAUUUCCCAAAUGUUGGACUGACACAUUUCUCACUUAAACUUCUUACUAUACCUGGAAUUUACUGACUCUGGAAAUACACCUGAAUUAUAAUUUAUUUACAACUGUGUAAAAAUUGUCAUUAAAUCACUGCAUUACAAACUCAGGAGCUUUCCUUCACCAAUACUUGUACUUAUUCUGUCCACUCUUAAAGAGGUUUCUCUAAAAUGGGUCCUCCUGUGAUGUUAAACCCACACAAUCCUGCAAGAAAAGUCUUCUUUCAGCACAGCAUUCAGUGACAUCUAUUUUUAAAAUAUUAUAUUGAAGUUAACUACAGCACUUACUAUUGUCUUUAGCAUGCAGAAACUUUCAUGAUGUACCACAUCAAACAGACAUAAGACAAAGGGAGGAAGGAACCAAAAGGGACAAAAGCACCUCAAGAAACCAGAACAAACUGUUUCUGAGGUAUUUUCUAUAGUCACAGAGACAAUACAGACAUCUUUUUUUCCACAGCUUAGUCUCACACCAGAUCCAUAUUCAUGUAACAUAAAAAAUGCAUCUCAGACUGGAGGAUGUGUCUUUGAAACACUAACUGGAGUGUGAAAUGCAUGUUCUAACCUUGAAAGGUUGGAAGGCACUAAUGCUGGGGCAAAGCAAAUAUUAUGUGAUCUUCAGAUGAAGCUGAUGCCUGGCAAGUAUUUAUAAAGAGGGGGAAAAAAGUGGGGAAUUUAGCACAAGAAACAAGCACCAUGACUGAAAUGAAACUAGAUGUGUACAUAAAAAUGUCAAGACAUCCACAGGUGCAAGCAUGGGCUCUUUGUAACCCUGACACACCAGGCUGGGAAGAGCCUGUCAUGGAAUUUUCUGGCCAACAGUGGCAGAUGCAGCAGCCCUUCAGCAUACAAAAGUGCAUUUCUAUGACACGGACAGAGCUGAGUGUUUGGUAUUCCAGAAAGUGCCCCUGGAAAUUCUGGUUUGUUAAACAUCAUGGAGGCCUCGCCAGGAGUCUGGCAGGGGCCUGAGGGAUUUUAAGUCCUCAAAUGAUUCAACUGGUUCUUCAGGACUAAUUUGGGCACAGCACAGCUAACACAGAGCAAGAAUUUAAAAUAUACUCCAAGAGUUGUGGCUGCAUUGUAUUUCCUUGUCUUCUUGCUCUGUCUGUUCUACAAUAACAUAAAGAGGAGACAACCUACAUAACACCGAUCAGACUCCGGAUCCACGCAGUAAAGCAGCCCAAAAACUCCUGGAGCUAAGCUUGGCCUAAAGGUGGUAAAGCCACGUUUCAACUGCACUGCAUCUGGUACAAUAAAGCCUCCCAAAGCCCACCCGUGUCUCAAACCUCACAUUCCCUUUUCCCUCCCUCUCUUCCUACAGUCAGCAUUCCACUCUGCUGGUCCUUCCUACAGCACCACAGCUCUGCACUUGCUGCAGACAGCAAGGCAAUUUAUUAUUCACCUGGCUGCUUUUUGGCAGUGCCUUCCAAAAGCUGGGAGCUGGGAAUCAACACGCAGAACCCCCUGCCUGAGAGGGGGCCACAGCUAAGAGCUCUGCCUUGACAAAGGCACUCUCACAUUUCUGCAUCUCAUGCAGAGCACAAAUUAACUGAUCCCUGCACAGCACCCAGACCUCGGGGCUGGGAGCAGCAGAUGAAACCUCAAACAGGGGAGGCAGCUGCAAUCCCACCCUGCCCAGCCUCGGUUCCUACAGCAAGGCACCUUCAGAGCCCUGGGCAUGCUGAGCUCGAGGCCUUGCAGCCACACCAGGCUGGUCUAGAGCAGCUGCAGUGUGGGUGCCCCAGCCACCAGGCUCUGCUGCUCCUCCCUCCAGGGACAAGGCAUUUGGGUCCCUCAAGCCAUUUCAGGCUCCCUGCAGGACUGGGUGGGAGCUCUGUGCUGAAAACUCCCUGGCAGUGUUGCUAAAGACACUGGAUCUGGAUACAGCCUGUGGCAACAGUCAGACCCAGAAACACAAGUCUGCCAGCCGAGAAAAAAGCUGUUAUUGAAAGUGAAGGAAACCUAAUGGAUGGCAGGUAAUCGACCACAACAAAAUUAGACUUGUAGGAAAGGAGAAUCCAGAAGCCUUCAUCAGGAUGGAGCAGUAUAAAUAAAAAUAUAAAAAUUAACCCAACCUGUAAGAGCUGCUUUUUUAAUCUGAAGCACACCCAACAUGAACACAGAAAUAAUAAUGGGCAAAAAACGAAACCUUAGUAUGGUCCAAAGGCCAAGUCACAGGUUGGACUAAAUAACUUUACACAGGCUGCAAAUAACAAUUUCCAGGUUUGGGAAGGCUAAACCCUCUGAGAUAUGGCACAGCAGCAUUACACCUGACACUUUUAUGCAGUACACAGACAGUAACCCAACCUUUUGCUUAUCAAAGUCUCCCUUGCAAAAGAAAAUAAAGCCUGAAGUCAGCAGGGUUGAAGUUAAAUAGUAACACUUUACAAGCUUCAGAAACACACAUGCCCUUUCAACAAACAGCUUAAUUAAGGCAUGAAACAUGGAUGUGUUCUUGAAAACACUCUGGAGUGGGGAGAUGAAAUCUGGACCGUGCCACACAGCAGCAUUCAUGACAUUUUGCUGUGGCAUUUCUCACUCCUCUGCAGCCCUCCCUCUCCCGACGGAGGGAACCAUUCUGCAGAAUGCUAAACACUCUCCAAGCACACUGACCAGCCUGAUCAACUGGGAGCACACAGGGAAUGUUGGGAUAUUGUCCUAGGGAGGCAGAACCUGAGUAUUUCACACUCUGAGCACAUUUCCUACGCCCACCCCAUCCACCCAAACAGUGAUCUUACAAAACUUACACACCACCCUUUAGGGGCACAGGCCCAGACACACAGAAAUCCACCUGUUCUGCAAGAAACUAACACUAUGCUAACAAAAAGGCACUUCAAGGAGCACGAAGGCUUAAUUUUAAAUAUUUCUAAAGGCUACACUGGCCACUAAGACACGUGGCUGCUGGCAAUAACUCCUCCCUCAACUUUUCAUCCCCACCCCUCCAAAUACCACCGAUUUUAAACAGAAUCCCAACCACUAAAACAGAGCCAUUUUGGAGAAACUCUGCCAGCAAGCUGGAAUCAUUCACAGUAAUACCAAAUUUUAAAAGGUGGUGUAUAUAUAUAUAUAUAUGUAUAUAACACUGUGGUGGUACCUCCCUAAAAAUUAAAGAGAUUAGGGUAAAUACAGACUUUAGUAUAAUUUAAAAAAAAACCCACAAAAAAAACCCCACAAAAAACACAAACAAGCAAGCCAAACUCCGCUGAAACUGCAGUUAUCUCACAGAACCCCAGCAGCAUUAGGUGUGGAAGGGAGCUCAGGAGAUGCCCUGCUCCAGCCCUCCUGCCCAGGCAAGGUCAGCGGCUGCAGCAGGUGACACAGGAAUGCGUCCAGCUGGGUUUGGAUGUGCCCAGAGAGGGAAACUCGGCGCCCUGCCGGGCAGCCGUGCCAGCGCCCUGCCGCCCUGAGCAUAAAGAGGCUCUUCCUCCUGCUGAGGUGGCGCUUCUUGGGCUUUAGUUUAGCUCCUACCAAACGGAACGGGCGCUGCACCACAAAGAAGACCCUUCAUCAAACAAAAGGGAAGUCGCUGUCUUAACCCACAGGAAUGUGUGGCAGUGGGACAUUUAAAGGCAAACACGAUCUGCAGCCUUCUGAAGCUUCAGCUGGGAAAGGAGAGGGAGCAGAGAGUGGAGAGCUGCUUGACUAGCUGUGCAGUAACUGCUCAGAAUUCAGGUUCUUCAGAAGUGAAACACAAACGUGUCUCGGCUGACAAGCUGUCCUGGCCUUGGAGAACAGGGACUUUGUGGCAGGAGCCCAAUGUGUUGAAAAUAUUUGAGAAAUAAAUGCAACUCCUAUUCAAAACCCCAA